CUCUGUAAUUUGCAGGGGAGGCUCGCUGCCCCUUGGAUGGGCAGUGAGCUCUGGAUUCCAGAGGCCAGGCCGCGGCUGCCCCCUGGGAUGGCACCCCUGCUCAGAGCAGGGUGGACGUGGGCCUCCUAGGCUGACCUCCCAGCAGACCAGGAAUCUGCCUGGAGAUAAUCAAGAUCGACACCGUGCCUUAGAACGCACCUUAGUACCACCCUGUCAUCUGAACACACCCGGGCUGGUUUAACCCCCUCACUGCUGUCACGGGAGCCCCAGGUCCUUCCCCCUCCGGGACGGGACAAGGCGUGCGGGGCAGGUUGCCCUGGGCUCCUGGGUUGCCUGGGUCUGCUUUCCUCUCACUGAGAAGGCCUCUCACUCUGCUCCCGAGGACUGAGGCUGUCUGCCCUGCGCCGGUUGGCUUGUUCAAAUCAGUGUCCAAAUUCUUUUCCUGCACUUUCAUGGGUGCACUGGGAUGAUGGCAGGUAAGUCUGGAUAUAAAUUCAGGGGUCUGACUAUCUACCCUCACGUGUAAGUAACCCACCCUCAGUAAACCUCAGUUUUCUUACUGAAAAUGGGGCAACUGCUGAGUCUCUCCUGGGGGUCACUUAGAGAAUAAGGGACAGUGCACAGGAAGCCCCCAGCCCUGUUUCUCAUACAUAACAGACAUUGGGCAAAACAGAAGGUGCUAGAAUAUUCUUUUUAUUUUUUCUGGAAACAUUUACAGGGGAGUUGGGCUGGGGUAGGCAAAACAGAACUGGCUAGCAUGCACAAAACAAAAGGCUCCUGGCAGUCCCGGCCGCCCGAGUGAUUAGGACAGUAGGGGUGCCAUAUCUGAAAGAGGGCGGUCCUGCCGUCUGGGGCCUGGGACCUCUGGCUGGUUCGGAACUGUCACCCCGCAGCGGACCAGCCACCCAGGACCUACCAGGGACCCCACUGGUUGCCGAUCCACUAGAUGGCGCACUCUGCUGGGAGUGCAGGAGGGGCCACCACCCCAGAAUGCUCUGGCCACCGCCCAGCCCCUGGGGCCACAGGGGGAGCAUGCACCUGAAACAGAGCAUGCCCCUGAAACACCACAGAUAAUUUCUAAAGAGCUCUUCUCAAUAGGUCAUGCAAGAUGUACUCCCUGUCUACAUCCUGGCCCAGUUGCAGAAGCAGAGGGAAUGGACAUUUAAUGACGUCCACUCUCUCUCUAAAUCCUCACCCCAGCUAUGACUGAUUUCCCUUUCUUUUACAGAUGAGAGGACUCUGAGAGGUUGGUGACUUGUCCAAGAUCAGCUAGGAAGCAAGACCCAGGACUGCAAUCCAGGGCUGCUGUGAGGAUCAAACAAGAUAAUGUAUGCUAAGGCGUGCUGCGAACACUACGUGCUGGGUGCAGGAGAACGGAGGCCCUAGAGUGGGUCUCGUGACACUGUGUUGAUGAAGACCUUGGCCGUGACCUCUGUGGGAAAUGAGCCAUGGACCAAUCAACAUUCAGUCUGAUUUCUUCGUUAUCCCCUGAGGAAGACCUUGGCUGUCCCUUCUGUGGGUAAGGAGCAAAGUGACUCAUAAUAACCGUAAGACAGCAGACUUACUCAUUUUCUAAGAAACAACAUCUUGGCAGUUAGCUCUGUGUGUAAAGACCGUAGACAGAAAUAAUGAACACAAAGCCGAUUUUAUCAUUCUCUAAUCCGGAAGACCUGGCUGAUAAUUCUGGGACUAAGAAGCUUAAAAACUUAUACAUAGUGAACAACAGCAUGGCUGACUCAGUCAUUCGCCGGAGUCAUUACAGUCGACCAGGAGGGGAAGCCUGAGAGAACCGUCGUCCAAUGAGGAAGAUCUUGACUGUUACUUUUGUGGAAUGAAGAUGAUGGUUGAUUUAAUCAGUCUCUGCUGAUGAAGAUCUUGGCUGUUACGUUUGUGGAAUGGAUGGAUGAUGAAUGAAUGACGGAGUGAAGAAACUUAUAAUGGAUGCUUCCGGCCAGCCUAAGCAUCUCCAUGGUCUUGAGUUGUCUGGUUGCCUAGGAGCAUAGGCAUCAGUAAUGGAUGCACUCGAGCUGAUUCCCUGUGGUUGGCUUUAUUGUUAGGAUCACAGACACAGAUAGUGGCCACACCAAGCUGAUGAAAGCAUGUUCCAUGAUUAGAGCUCUAUACGUAGGAGAUGGAGAUUGGUAAUGGAUGCACUACAGCUGAUUUCAGGGUUCUUCCAUGGUCACAAGACAUCUGCUUACUCCAUGUGUUUGGUGCAUAGAAGGAAUGCACACACCCAAGAUGGUUUAAGUAGUAUCCCUUGGCCAGUGAUCUCUACAUUUGCCUGUAGGAACAUGGAAACCAAUCGCGCUCAAGCGUCCUCCGUGGUCACGCGCUCCGUUGUUGCCUCUCUGUGGAGUGAGCACAGAGACCGAUGAUGGAUACGCCUGAACUGCCGUAGGCGUUUGGCUGUGAUCACGUGCUUGCGGGUGCCCGUGUGUGUGUAGGAGCACGGAGACCACCAAGGACAUCCUCAGGCUGGUUGAAGAAUUCUUUCUUGGUCACAAUCUCUCUGGUUGCAUCUGUGUUUCAGGUGUUAAGAGAGACCAGUAAAGAAGACACUUGAACCAGUGUAAGCAUCCCCCAGCUUCAGUCACUGCCAGCAAGCCUCUCUCUGUGGGAGCAUGGAGUCGAACAAUCAACGCACUCCCGUUGAUGUAAGCAUUUUCCAUGGUCAGGAGAUCUGUGAUUUCCCGUGUGUUCUAAGCCUAGAGAUGAAUAAUGGAUGAACUCCAGCAGCUGGAAGCCCUUGCAUGAUUACAAGCUGUCUGUCUGUCUGUCUGGAGCAUAGAGACCAGUCAUUCUUCCGUGGUCGCAAGAUCUACGGCUGUGUCUGUGUGUUGGAGAAUGGAGAUCCAUGUGACUAAUGAAUGGACGCGCUUGUCCUGAUGGAAGCAUCUUCCAUGGUCAUGAACUCCUAGGCCUGCAUCGAUGCACUGGGAACUAGACACCACCAGCCACCGGCGCGCUGGAGCUCCUGAACGCAUUCGCACGUGUCGCGCUUCUGUGCGCGCUUCUGCGUCGUGGGAGCGUGGCGAGCAGUAAAGGACCUGGCUAGCAGAUGUCAGGAUUCUUCCUUGGUCACGAGAUCUCGGGUUGCGUUCAUGUGUCAGGAACACGGAGACCAUAAUGGUCACUGUCAGCUGAUGGAAGCAUCUACCCUAGUCGCCGGCUUCGUGGUCAAAUCUGUGGGUGAUACCGUGGACCCCAGUGCGAAAUAGACACUUGAGCUGUUUUCAGCUUCCGCCGUGAUCAAGACUGUGAUGUUCCCUGUGAGCACUGAAAGAGAUGGAGGCGAAUACUGGUCAAAAUGGUCGUCUUGGAAAGGGCCACUUGUUUCAGGAAUGAAUGCGCACGAGAUGAUUCGGUGACUUCCCGGGGCGCGAAGUCUGUUGCUUCUGUAUAACAGGACGGAGAUUCCUAAAGACACUGGACCUGGUUUAAGGAUUUCUCCCUUGAUCCUGACCUCUGCGUUUGCAUCUGUUUUAGGAGACUGGAGACCCGGAAUAGAAGGUCAAGGUGAUUUCUGCCUUCAUUUUGGUCCAGGGCACCAUGUUCCCUCUUACAGGAAAGAGACUAACAAAGGAGGGGCAGAAAGGGAGAGAGAGAAUGCUAAGAAGGCACCAUGCCCAGCAUGUUUUCAUCAGUGGAACACUUCAUUUCAACCUCGUAUCUGUCUGACACGGGGCUAGAUCCCAUGAUCCUGAGAACAUGACCUGUGCCAAAAUCAGAAGUCAGGCACUUAACCGACUGAGCCAUGAAGAAUGGACAGAUGCGAGCUAACCAAGCAUUAUUCCAAGGUGGCGAGCUCUACGAUAGCUUCGGUGUGACAGAGGCACAGGGUCCCAUUAGAGAUGCUCCAGCUGAUUUCACCUCUACCCUGAUCAUGGUCGUUAUGUUGCCUGCGCCUUAGGAGACUAAAGCAAGCUGAUGUAAGCAAUCCUGCCUGGUGGCGAGCUCGGUGGUCGCAUCCCUCUGUUAGACGUGCAGAGAACAGCAACGGACACACCUGGGCAGAUGUAACGUCUUCCAUGAUCCUGAGUUCUGUGCUUGCCUCUGUAGUAGAAGGAUGGGGAUUAAUGAUGGACAGAUUACACCUGCAUGAGGAUUCUCCCUGAUCAAGGGCCCUCAGGUUGUAUUUUUGUACUGGGGCGACAGGAGACGGAUAAUGGACACACUCCGGCAGACGGUAACAUUCGUCCAAGGUCGCCAGCCCUCUGCUUGCAUCUACGUUGGAGGAGCGUGGAGACCAUGGGCUCGAGCUGAUUCCGUCUUCCGUUGGGAAGCAGGCUUGUCACGUGACCGAUGGAACAAGGAGAGUAAUGGUCAAAAAUUUUGUUUUUGUUUGGGUCAUUUGUGUGGGUUUGUGGUAUUAUUAGAAAGUAAUAAGUAUCAUGAAAAUGUUCACUAUGGCUGACGAAUAAAUAUGAUAUAAACCAUUGUA